GCCACCGUAGCUCAGUUGGCAGAGCAGCGGUUUUGUAAACCGCAGGUCGUCGGUUCGAGUCCGACCGGUGGCU
rnacentral:tRNA from 1 species